rnacentral:rRNA from 1 species
GUGAACAUACCUACAACUGUUGCUUCGGCGGGUAGGCCGUCCCCUGAAAAGGACGCCUCCCGGCCCGGAACGGACCCCCUCGCGGGGCCCGGACCCGGCGCCCGCCGGAGGAUAACCAAACUCUAUUUUAACGACGUUUCUUCUGAGUGGCAUAAGCAAAAUAAUCAAAACUUUUAACAACGGAUCUCUUGGUUCUGGCAUCGAUGAAGAACGCAGCGAAAUGCGAUAAGUAAUGUGAAUUGCAGAAUUCAGUGAAUCAUCGAAUCUUUGAACGCACAUUGCGCCCGCCAGCAUUCUGGCGGGCAUGCCUGUUCGAGCGUCAUUUCAACCCUCAAGCUCUGCUUGGUGUUGGGGCCCCACGGUCGACGUGGGCCCUCAAAGGUAGUGGCGGACCCUCCCGGAGCCUCCUUUGCGUAGUAACAUUUCGUCACGCACUGGGAUCCGGAGGGACUCUUGCCCGUAAAACCCCCCAAUUUUUCAAGGUUGACCUCG